rnacentral:tRNA from 1 species
UGGAGACGUGGCCGAGCGGCUGAAGGCACUCGUUUGCUAAAUGAGCAUACCUUGAAAAGGGUAUCAUGGGUUCGAAUCCCAUCGUCUCCGCCAU